ACAAAUCCAGUUUCCACAAUAGUGUCAGGUUCUGUAGAGCUGUGGGGAUCAAACCUGAAAGAUUGUUAUGUGCUAGACACAAUCGUUGCAGGUUGCCAACGCUAGCAAUGGCCUCAGGGAUACUACCAGACAGCUUAUUCAUGGUCAGGUUCAGUAAGGCGAGACCUUUUAAGUUCUUCAGAGAUUGAGGUAUGGUUCCCUCAAAUGAGUUGUGAUCCAGCAGCAGCUGUUCCAGUGAAAUGCAAUUCCCAAUACUAUCAGGUAUGCUGCUUGACAACUGGUUUCCUGAUAGAAUCAGUUGGUUAACAUUUGUCAAGCUACCAACUUCCACUGGGAGUGGCCCAGAUAAUGCAUUGUAUGAUAAGUCUAAGUACCAAGAAAGCUGAGGAAGUUUUAGCACCUCCUUGGGAAUUGAACCAUUGAGCCGAUUUGUUGACAAAUCGAAGACAAAUACAUUCUUCAAGUUUCCCAGGCUUGCUGGAAUGGGCCCUUCUAGAUUGCCAUAGUAUGCAUAAAGCCUAUUUAACUGAGUAAGAUUUCCUAGUGAUGGAGGUAUGAGGCCUGACAAGCUGGUGUUGUAAAGGCCUAACUCAACCAAGUUUUUUAGUCUCCCAAUGCUCUCUGGAAUUGGUCCAGAUAGAGAAGUUACUGCCAUGUAUAGUAUUUGCAGACCAACCAAGUUGCCAAUGUUGGAUGGAAUAGUCCCAGAAAUCCUAUUGUCUCCCAAAUAAAGAGUUUCAAGAGUUGUUGAUAGGUUUGCGAUUGAAACAGGCAGUUCCCCGCUGAAAUGAUUCUCGGAAAGAACCAGAUUCUGAAGUUGGCUGCAGUUUGUUAGCGAGGUGAGGAAUUCCCAACCUUCCCUGUCGUUCGCUUCUAGCUUGUUGCCCAGCAAGUACAACAAGACGAGACCUUGCAACCUUCCCAAAGUAGGAGGCACAUGUCCAAUAAAACUAUUUUCUGAGAGUUGAAUGUUAUUCAGAGUAGAGAGAUUGGAGAUCGAAUGCGGAAUAGCUCCCCAGAAUUGGUUCUCAGCAAUGGCAAUACCUUCGAUGUUGAGGAAUCUAUUGCCGACAUCAGCAGGAAUACUUCCAGACAGCAUGUUUUUAGAUAGGUCCAUGUGUUUCAACAUGGACAAAUUGUACAGGGAAUGUGGCAGCACACCUGAGAUGUUGUUAUCGAAGAGAGAAAGGAGCUUUAGGCCUUCCAUGCUGCCGAACUCUGGUGGUAUCUGGCCCUCGAGCUUGUUGCUACCAAGAUCAAGACAGCACAGAGAUGAUAUGUUAGCGACUGAUACUGGGAUAGCACCCGUAAAGCUGUUGUUUUCCAACGAGAGCCACUGAAGGCUUUUGAGCCUGUAGCCAAGCUCGACAGGGAUACGCCCAUGGAGCCGGUUGCUGCUGAGUUCCAAGACCUGCAAGCUGGCACAGAAGCUUAGGUUGGCUGGCAGUGCUCCGCUGAACGUGUUGUAGCUCAGGUCAAGCAACUGUAGGUGUUGUAGGCGGCCGAUGCUUUCAGGGAUGUUACCCUGAAACCAGUCAUUGUGCGACAGUUUCAGAGUACGCAGGAACGUGAGGUUCCCGAUGGCCGGAGACAGGGUGCCAGUGAGGCCAUAGGAGGGCAGGGUCAGCGCCACCACUCGCCGAUUAUUCCUAGCACGGCUCCCGCACCUGACACCCUCCCAGCCGCAGAAGCUGCUACUGUUCCACGAGGCAAGCAGGCUGUUGUCGCGGCCGCUGCCGAUCGCCGCGGCCUUGAACGCCAGCAGUGCGGCCUCGUCGUCGCCGGCUUGUGCGGCCACGAGUACCGAGGUGGGCACGGAGGCGGAGAGCAGCAGCGGGAACAGCAGUAAUAAGCUCACCGAGCGCAUUAUUGCCAUGCCGCCGGCGGUUGCUUUGCUAUGCUGCUUCCUUUUGGUCGAUCCACCGGGUACGUAGUGAGUGAUUGGUUGAGGGUUCUUAAGUGCUACCCCUUUUAUGCGUCACGGGUGUCAAAAUGCAAUUUUUUCGGCUGGUUUUCAAAAAAACAAUCUGGACUUCGAUAGACUCGUCGCGCGAGGUUGGGUCAACAUUUGGCAACUGUCGCCUUUAUACCGUCUAGUAGACCGUAUACGCAGAAAACACAAUGCGUUUAAUCAAAAAACUUUUUAAGAUUUCUCAUCACACAUCGAAUCUUGCACAUGCAUAGAACAUCAAAAUAGGUAAAAAAUAAUUAAUUACAUAAUUUGCUUGUAAACCGUAAAAUAAUUUUUUUGAGCCUAGUUUAGUCUAUGACUGGACACUAAUUACCGAAUACAAACGAAAAUGCUAUAGUAGCGAAAUCCAAAAAGUUUUCGAAUCUAAACAAGACCUUCAAUUAUUUAAGGUCCCCUUCACCACCUAUAGACGCGGAAAACAGGUCGUCUUCAAUUAUUUAAGAGUGCGAAAUUUCUUCAUGCAUCUAGGGUGGAGUAGCUUUGUGGAGCUGUCGUUAGAUCGGUCUCAGUAUGAGUUCUAUCUCCAUUUAACGAGCUGUUUUAUAGGUAUUUUAAUGAUAUAGUCAUGGAAUUAUAUAGUGCCCCUUUAGGCUUCUUCAUUUUAAUACACCAGGUAGCUCUCCCAUCAAUUCUUGUAAAAAAAAUGUCUCUAUUUCCUUUUAUAUAAACCAUAGCUUGAAAUACUUUGGUCAUUUACUUAUUUUAUGUUAUGUUGUUUAUAUUUAUAAACUUAUGAUUGGACAGUACAUUUGAUUACAAUUCUAAUCGUUUCAAGUUUGUUUAUAAUAUACUUAAAAAAUUGUUAGUUAAGUUAUUGGUCAGAAAUUUUAAAGUUCAAAUCUUGAUACGCAUACGCAAUACAUAAUAGUUUUCUUUUCCCACGGACAUAAAUUGAUUAUACAAGAGUAACUCUAAGACCUUCUUUAUAUCCUUCCAUAUAGAUAGGAAUAGACUUUGAUUAAAGAAAUGAUCCAUUCAACGGCUUCUUCAACUACAGGUACAUUUGAGACACUAAAUCAGUUCUGAUCCUUUAGUAGAAACGGUGCCAAAUAGGAUAUGCACGGAAAAUUUUACCGUAGAAAUGUUUUCUCCUUCCAUAUCAAUAGAAAUAGAGAUUUUGAUAAAAAGUAUUAAUAGAAAUAAAAAUUUUGAUAAAAAUAAUCCUUUCAACAAUAAAAAAUUAAUGAGAGUAGAGAGCUCGCCUCGUCGCCGGCACUGCCGUACGUGCGCUUGCCAGGAGCCGGACGCUGCUGAAAUCAUGAUGGCGAUGGUUGGCAGCAACAAGCUCCCGAUACGCAUUGCCAUGGUGGAGAGUGGAGACGUACGUUCUGGAGCUUAGCAAAGAUCUUUCUUCAAGACAAAGCCUUUCCCUUUCUGUGGUAAAAAAAAAAAAGAAAGCCUGUCCCUUUCUGUGGUAAUUAAAAAAAAGCCUUUCCCUUUCUGGGUCAGAGCAGGGGAGCAACUUGUUGUAUUAUUGUAUUCCGUAAUCCUGAUACGUCGCUGUUUCCUUAGUCUUUCUUUUUCACCCUUUAUUUACAAGGUCUCCUCGAGUCUUUUCUCUCUUUUUCUUGACAGCAAGGUCUCCUUGAGUCUUUUGUUUCGACUUGGCGGCCAGUGCCCAGUGGCCUUUCCAAGUUGCGAUUGUCUAUACUCCAUCCACCCCGGAAAUUAAGGUGUCAUUCUGGCUUAAAAAACUCGAUAUUUGAAGAUAAACCAUAAUUUGUAUUUUUUACAAAGUCAAACAUAUGUAACUUUGAUCAGAUAUAUACCAGAGAUUAUUAGUAUUUAUAUAAAUAAUAAGUAAUAUUAGAUUAUUUAUUGAACAUUUUUUAUUAUAAAACUUAUUUACACAUAUAAAUGUUGUUAAUAUUUUCUAUAAAGCUAGUCAAAUUUAGUAAACAUUGAUAUGCACAAAACCCUAGUAGAUAUUCUUUUUAGAACUCUGAUUGCUAUUGGUUACUUGCAUUAGCUUAUAUCUAGGCUCGUGUAGUGUGGUUUGCCUUUGCUUGAUUGCUUGCAGAGGCUUUUUAUGUACGCUUGUACCGUGCAAAACAGAUUAAUGCAGCAUAUUAGAUAAUAUAGAUUUGCAUAAACCGAUGGACACAACAAAACUAAAUACUUUCAUAUUCUCUACUUUUGCUAGAAACAAGAGACAUCUAAUAGAAUAUAUACGAUGAUUAUAUAUAAUAAAAUAUAAAUAAACAAACAUGAUUUUAUUGGAUGUGGCUUGCCUAUGCAGGAUAACUAUAAACAUAAAGACAUUGCAUACAUGGGCUAUUUACACAGGAUUUGGUUGGCUUCGCGGUACUUGGCACAGGUGGCCAAGGUUUAUCUUCUCCUAGGCAUGUGGGUGGCGGCGUGGCGCUCUAGUAUGUGGAUCAAUAGUCGCUAGAGUGUGUGUGGCCUCCUCUUUUAUUUGGCUGUGUGCUUCUUGUCAAGCAGAGGCCAGAAGAGUUCUCUUCAAAACUUUAUAUCAACUCGAUGUAAUACAUUUGAAAAUUUAAUAAAAUCUUCCUUUAUUAAAAAAUGGUCUUAGGUUGUGUUGCAUAAGGUUUAAUGCAAGCUAAGUCUAAUACAAGCAACCAAUUAGGGUAUGUGUAUGUCACUAGUAGAGAACAGACCUUCCGUUUAGCAAAAUAGUUCUAAGAUUAAUAGGCAUCAAGGACCUUUAGUCAUGGUUGGUAACACACUAGUUCAGACUAAAGAGCCUUGACCUACCAAUCAGGACUAAAGGUCUUUCAACAAGGAGUUAGUUCAAAAGGAGAGCAUCCCAUCCACAGUCACAUGUUUUGUAUAGGUGAAGUGGAAAGCUACACGUGAAGCAAUGCAUGAGGCCUUGUGUCUAAGUCAUAGGGGUGGGAGACAUUAUUUUUUAGCCUCGAGGGACCCAUCCCGAAUUUUCAACCUGGACUAAAGGGCUUUUCUAACCGGGACUGUAACUAAGACCGAGACCCAAGUUUUCAGACAUUAGUUUGGUAUCUACCAUACUACCCAAAUUGUUUAUGUCUAGUUUGGUUAUAUGCCUUGGGUAACCGAACUAACCAAAUAUUUGGACUUCGUUAACAUAAUAUGUACUUUGAACUAUUGUUACUAGUGAUGUAAUAUUCAUCUAUUGGGUUUAUAUCGAUUAUCACUUUUGUCACUUUGUUUUAUCUAUAUGUUGUCUUGUCAUUUUUGCCUCUAAAUAAAAAAUGCUGCUAGAAAUUAUGCUAUUUUAUGGUUGUAAGUUAUUUCGGUCAUGACCAAGAUCAAACCAAACUAACUGAGGAAGAAUUUCCUUGUGGUCCUGAGUUUAUAAACUAAUCGAUCAACUUUUAUUUUUAGGUGACCAAACUUUCAAAAUAAUUGAAGAAGUCUGGUCCUACCCAACACUCUAGUUUCAUUAACUAGCAAGAUAGUCCGCACAAAUUGAGGGGCCAGAGGCUAGAUUAGCCUCUCGUGUUCGCGUUAUAAGAACACGUUGGGAACAGGUACUCUUGACAUGCCUGGCCAGUGAGAAUGGCACCGCGGGGAUUCGAACAUGGGUUGCUCGCACAAAUAGCAUGAGUAGCUAACUACAUCUUUUCGUCAUUGUAAUUUUUUUACUUAAAGAUAUCUCUCAAAUAGUCUUGUUGUUUGUUUGAUUAUAUAAUUAUCCUCUCUACAGGCUCUAGUAUUACAUCCAUAUUUUUUUGACCUAAUUCUUUGAAUUAAAAGAUGUCGUCAUCCUCCUCUCAUUUUCUCUCCACUUAUAUCUCGUGGUUGUGCAACCACUUAUUCCCUUUCAGUGACCUCCAAUAUUCCUUGAUAAACCAUUGUUCAAAUUUCUCACAAAUUAUCUAGUUUAUUGGCCCUCUUAUAAAUUUAUGCAUUGGAUUAUCUGCUCGCACCUUUCUCUUACGUUCCUCCUCUUAUAUGUCUGUACAACCUUUUGUCAUUAAAAUAUCUUUAUAUUCACCACAAUGUUGUUCAUGUAUGUUGUAGCCAUUGCUGCCUCAAGCAGUCAAUGGCCGGCUCUAUCAUUAUGCCAACAUUCACGGAUGCCUCAAGCCUCCCAAAUAAACAGUGGAACUGUUACUGACGCCACUAAUAAGCUAGUAGUACUGAUCUACAUGUCAUUCUACCUUUGUCAUUCUACCGGCACCAUCGAUCACGCCGUGGUGGGCGGCACCAGCAAGUUCAGGCUGGCACACGGGUACAUUACAUGAUUUUCAUGAUAAACCUCUUCGUGCUCAUGCACCCUACUGGCAUCUACUAGCGCGCACCUUGAGACUUGAGUGAGUGGCUACCGCAUUAUUGGGCAGUGGGUGAAGUGUCUAUGUCCAAUCAACAUCAGAUCGAUCAUACUGUUUUCGACGACUGAUGUACAUCCAACUGUUUCAGAUUUGUUUCUCUUGAUAAAACCCAAUAAUCAUGCAAUUUCCUUGUCCUCUGAAAAAAAGUACAGGCCAUUUCCUUGGCCUGAAUUGACGUGUUUGUUUCUUGGCCAGAGUAGAUCAUCAGCCUUUGCUUAUUCCUGCUGGGCUUCCUUAUCUCUAUGUUCUUCCUAAUCCAAUGAUGAACUGUAUAGGGUCAGCAGAUACACCUUCAGCUCUCCACCGAUCCAUCAUCGCUCUACACCUUCAGCUUGAAAAAAUUAUAGCAGCCAAUCAAGCAAUUAGUUUGCCAAAUCCAAAUAAGAAAACCUGCUAAUGCACAACUUCACCAGCGUGCAAUGGUACAAGAAGCUUUUUCUUUUUUUGAGAACGCGCUUAGCACGUGUUUCCACAAUGGUAGUAAAAGCUAGUAUAACAAAUAACAGUUGUGUUGAUUUUUUUUUUGAGCGAAAGUUGUGUUGAUUUUCAUCUUUGUCAUAGCUAUGAAAGAAGGUUCUAAACCGUACAAUGAUUUAUUUCAACACUGGACCUCCUGCUUCGCUGCUUCUAUGAUCUUGAGAAAUUAAUCAGAAUAUAAGAGGGUUCGCGGCUUGCUUGCUUCUCUCCCAGAUCCCCAUCCAGCUAGCUGGCAACCAUGAGGUACGCGUCUCUGAUCGCACGCAUCUCCACAGCAGCAUCUCGCAUCGCCAUUCGCUCACUUGGCUGCUGCUUUGAGCAGGAGACGCCGAGCCGGAUCACUGAAACCAAGCACUCCUUGCUCUGGAAUCUUACUGUGGUAGCAACAGCCGAUUCAUCAUGCAGCCAGAUUGCUGGGUCGGCUAUCUCCGAGGCUCCGUUGAGAAGAGCAGCUUUGGCGAAACUAUGAAGGUCCAAUGAGUCAUUGAACAUGUCGUCAGUAGGGCUCCUUCCGGAGAACAUCUCGAGCAACAGUAUCCCAAGGCUGUAGACAUCCCCAAGAGUCGAGACAGAUCGACCCUCACCAUACUCUGCAGUGUCAUUCAGAUUUCAGACAUAAUUUUAUUUCGUCAGUGGAUUCAGUACACAUGCAAAGAAGGUAACAACAUGAGUACGAGCUUCUGUUACCUGGAGCGACAUAACCAAUGGAGCCCCUCAGUCCAGUGAAGCUGACUGAAUUUAGCAGAGUUUUGCUAGUGUCAUCAGAAAGGAUUUUCGAUAUGCCAAAAUCUCCAACCCGGGCACUCAUAUCCUCUGCAAGGAGGAUGUUACUUGGCUUGAGGUCACAGUGGACUACUGGUGGCUGACACUGAUUGUGAAGAUAUUCCAGAGCAUCCAUGAUGUCUACAGCAAUGUCUAGUCUCUGAGCUAGGCUGAGCGUAUUACUCAGAGUGUGUACUUUAGAUGCUGGAUGCAGCCAAUCAUUCAGACUACCGUUUGGCAUGAACUCAAAAACCAGCGCCUUGAAUUCUUCACCUUGAUGAUUGAUGCUUGAGCAACAAGUGAUGAUCUUUAUGAGACAACGGUGACGUACCCUUCGUAGUGCCUCACAUUCAGCUACGAAACUUCUAGUAGACCCGGAUUGUCGUAUGUUAAACACCUUUACAGCUGUGGUAAUACCCUGAUCAUGCAAAGUGCAUUUAUAAACAGCACCGUAGCUCCCUUGUCCGAGCAAAUUAGCCUCUGAGAAACCACCAGUUCCAUUUGACAAUGCUUGAUAAGAAACCCUUUCGAACUGUUCAUCAAUUACUGUAGAAAUGAGUUGGCUUGGCUUUCUUUGUCUGAACCUCUUGUGGAUCAAAUGAAUAAGAGCAACUAGUAUACCUAAGAAUACAAGUGCGCCGACUGAUAUUAGGGUGGCCAUAAGGGAUCUUGACACUUGUCUUUUGUUGUCCACAGCAGCCAUGGAGCAUGGAGCUAAAUGUAGUUGAGGCGCUCCGCCACAAAGCUCAUCAUUUCCGUGAAUUGACAAGGACGUUGCAUUUGCAAAAACACCCCCUUUUGGCACUUCACCUUGGAGAUCAUUGAAGGACAAAUCCAGUUUCGACAAUAGUGUCAGGUUCUGUAGAGCUGUGGGGAUCAAACCUGAAAGGUUGUUAUGUGCUAGAUACAAUUGUUGCAGGUUGCCAAUACUAGCAAGGGCAUCAGGGAUACUACCAGACAGCUUAUUCAUGGUCAGGUUCAGUAAGGCUAGACCUUUUAAGUUCUUCAGAGAUUGAGGUAUGGUUCCCUCAAAUGAGUUGUGAUCCAACAACAGCCGUUCUAGUGAAAUGCAAUUCCCAAUACUAUCAGGUAUGCUGCUAGACAACUGGUUUCCUGAUAGAAUCAGUUGGUUAACGUUUGCCAAGCUACCAACUUCCACUGGGAGUGGCCCAGAUAAUGCAUUGUAUGAUAAGUCUAAGUACCAAGAAAGCUGAGGAAGUUUUAGCACCUCUUUGGGAAUUGAACCAUUUAGCCGAUUUGUUGACAAAUCGAAGACAAAUAGAUUCUUCAAGUUUCCCAGGCUCCUUGGAAUGGGGCCCUCUAGAUUGCCAUAGUAUGCAUAAAGCCUAUUUAACUGAGUAAGAUUUCCUAGCGAUGGAGGUAUGAGGCCUGACAAGCUAGUGUUGUAAAGGCCCAACUCAACCAAGUUUUCUAGCCUACCAAUGCUCUCCGGGAUCACUCCAGAUAUGGAGUUAUUUGCCAUCUCAAGUAAUUUCAGACCAACCAAAUUGCCGAUGUCCAACGGAAUAGCUCCAGAAAUCCUAUUGUCUCCCAGAUAAAGAGUUUUGAGAGUCGUUGAUAGGUUGGCGAUUGAACCGGGAAGUUUACCACUGAAAGAGUUGUUGCCAAGAAUCAGUAUCUGAAGCUGGCUGCAGUUCGUCAGGGAAGUGAUGAACUCCCACCCUUGACUGUCGUUGGCUUCUAGCCUGUUGUCACCCAAGUCCAGGACAGUGAGACCUUGCAACUUCCCCAGAGCCGGAGGCACAUGUCCAAUAAAUCCAUUUCCUGCGAGGCCAAGUUUUAUGAGAGCAGAGAGGUUGGACACCGAAGGUGGGACAGCUCCACUGAACCGGUUGUAAGAGAAGCUUAGAGUUUCUAUGCUGGGAAAUCUGUCUCCGAUAUCAGCAGGGAUAGUUCCAGACAGCAUGUUGUAUUCUACCCCGAAGUUCUUCAGAGAUGACAGAUUGUACAGGGACUGUGGAAGCACACCCGAGAGGGUGUUCCCAAAGAGGAGGAGGACCUGCAGACCUCCCAUGCUACCAAGCUCAUGUGGUACCGGACCCUCAAGCUGGUUGUCAGUCAGAUCAAGGUAGUCCAGGGAUGAAAGGUUACCUAGUGAUCCUGAGAUGGUGCCCGUCAGGCUGUUGUUGGCCAAUAAGAGCCCCCGAAGAUGCGUGAGCUUGUUGCCGAGCACGACAGGGAUGCGCCCAUGAAUUUGGUUGCUGCUGAGGCUCAACAGCAGUAAGCUGACACAGGAGCUGAGGUUGGCGGGCAGCGUGCCGGAGAACGCAUUGUAGCUCAGGUCCAGCACCUGCAGACGCGCUAGGCGGCCAAUGCUCUCCGGGAUCUCCCCCUGGAACCAGUUGGAGCUCAGGUUCAGCGUCCGCAGGAACGUGAGGUUCCCGAUGGCCGGGGAGAGCGCGCCGGCGAGCCCGUAGGAGGGCAGGCUCAGCGACACCACCUGGCCGCCGCCGCUGCACGCCACGCCUUCCCAUCUGCAGACGCCGGCGGUGCCGUUCCAGGAGGCCAGCAUACCGGAGCUGCUGCCAGCGAGCUCAGCCUUGAAAGCAAGCAGAGAACUGGCCUCGUCGCUGGCACUGCCGUGCGUUCCCCAGGAGGCCAUUGCAAUCAUGACGAAGGUGGUGGCGGGCAGCAAUCUCAUGGCACGCGUUGCCAUGGUGGUGCUGGGCUGGAGCGUAGCCAAGAGCUGGCUGUUCACAAAAGCCUUGCCUUAUAUGUUUAUCCAAAAAUAGAAAGGGGCCUAGCCUUUCUUGGUCAGAGUCAGAGCAGGGGAGCGAGCAACUUGCUGUGUUUUUUAAUCCUGACGGACGCGUGCUAAUAAUGCAUGCAGCAUGCAAAUACAUCGCAUCUGAUUCGUUGUCUGGUGAGACGUUGUUGCACGCGCCACGCUGCUUCCUUCAAUCUCUGACUUUCACAUGGCGUUUCCAAGUUUGUUUUCGGCUUUGCCAGUUUCUGGGGGUUUUUUUUUCAACUAGUAGAUAAGAAACAUGUUCCAACCUGUGGAUCAUUAGCGAACAAGUUUUGUUCCUAAUCUGAGACACCUUCGAUUCAGUUAUAUUCACAGAAUUACCCAAUUCUGCUCUAGCAAUUGGAGGCUGACAUGGCAAAGCUAAGUUCAGUUUUCUUUUUCUGUUUUCUCAGCAAACUAACUGAUUUCUGUUGGGAUUCUGAACAUACAGAUGCCAGCAGUCUAAAGUCUAAACAGUGGUGAUUUUAUUAUAUGUUCUGGUCGAUUUGUACCUUUUCUUGGUAGCUGAGCGGUGUGUGUAGAUGUGUAGUUAACAGUGCAAUUCUUUGUACGAACUUAAAAGUAUUUGUUGGAUGUAUAAUUAUCUCUCAUAAACCACUAUCGUCCUAGAAUAUUCCUACUUCAGAGUUUAUCAGUGCAAUUCGACUAGGAAAACAAAGAAACACCAUUAUUCCUUCUCAUGAACACAACUGUUCAAAAAACUGCAAACAGAACUAUCAUCUUUAUAAGAAAGUAAUUUCUCACAUAAGGAUAUAUAUCUAUAAAAAUCAAAACAAUGCAAAGAAAAUACAGUCAACAAAAAGCAAAGAGAAGUGGCCGGAGGCCGGUAGUCGGUAGUCCAGAGGCAGCAAAUUAGCAAAAGACAAUAAUAGCUUUACCUGAGAAUAGAUUAGGAUUGGCAGUGUGGAUGUGGCCAAACACAACUGUGUCAGCACUAGAUGAGAUCCUCUGUUCAUAGCAUAGAAGCAAGAUGUCAAUGAAGAGUGAACUAUUUAUGAACAUGGGAUAGUAUUGACCGUGGAACCAGUUUUAGAUUCUUCCUUAUCAUACUUAGAGACUUAUCUUCAGCGACAGCCCUAUAUUCCUUCAUAUAUAUAGCUUUCACCAGUAUCUUGGUUCUGAAAUCAUCCUUCACGACAUCAUCAGUGUCUAAUAUAGUAGGCUCAUUGAGCUUUCCUUGGGAAUGAAGUCCAUGAACCCUAAUAGCCAAUGGUCAUUGAUCUUUGGACCUGAAGAACUCCUCUCAAUCUCAUACCCAUGGGGAAGAAAAUAUCUUGUCCUGGAAGGUCAUUUUUCCCCACCCCCACCCAUGUGCAUUGGAUGGAUACCCACUAGGUUAUCCAUCACCCUUUACAAGUGGCAAUAGCAACAUCACGAUUUAUAUCAACACAAUAAGACUUCAAAAUACUAAAGAUAGACAUCAAUUGAGCAUGACAUGUUAAAUAGAAUCAAAUGUGGCUCGACAUUUCAUAUAAUGUUUUUAUAUGAUAUAAAAUAUGCACAGAUCCAAUGUCAUAUUUAACCACAUCCCAAGUAUGAGGAUUAAUAAGAUCAGCCAUGAAACAGUGGACGGGGCCAUUGCCAUCCCUAACUAAGAGGUUGGCCUGUAACUGGCUUGAUGACAGUGCUCUGUCAUAAGCCAUAUGAGAGUUGUAAACUCGCCACCUAUGCUAAGCUGUUUAGCAUGCGACUCUCUGCUGCAUCGGUUGGCCACGUAGACUAGAAUAUCUGUCCACACAUCUAAGACUAUUCGCAAUGAAUCCUUCUUUUUGCCCUCCCUCGUGAGCAGUUUUUCCGCUAGACUGAUCCCAAAUCUUACACGAGAUUUUAUGCCAAAUUUGUCCAACUUAGGCUGGUGAUUGAGUAGUCUCUUGGCAAGUUGCUCUCUUCGGUGGAUCCGAGAAUUAGAGCUGGCGCCACCACCAUGCAAUUCCAUGACCACUGUAUAGAUGGUGUAAAUCCAGCUUGAACUGAGAGUGGGGGCUAACUCGUCAACAACACCUUUCCAUUCAUCAGACAGAGUUUUUUCCGUCCGUUGGUAUAACUUGAUCUGAGCAAGGCCAGGUAGCAUAGCAGGGCGUUCAACAAGGAGGAACAUCAAGUAGUGGGAGAUUGCCUUGAUUGCCCCUACAACACUCUCGGUGUCCUUGGUCCUCAACUUCUCCAAUUUUACGAGGAGGAUAUCAGUGGCAAUGUGCCAGAUGACGAUGGCCUCUUGGACCUCAGCACCAAGGUGUGCCUCCUCAACCUUAAAAUCAUGGCGCUCCAGUGCGACCUGACCCCAGUUCUUCCUAAUCACCCCCAGUGUGUUUAUUGAACCAUCUUCAUUGAUGGAAUUUAUAUAACCCACCACAUGUUCCUUGACUGUGUCUGGAAUAUUAACGGUCCAAACGCUGGAGCCUAGCAUCCUAGCCCAUAUGCCGCGAAGAGGUCGGGUUGUGCCCCGACGGGUGCACAUGUCCAACAUGUUGCACUGCCCCAUGGUACCAUGCCACCUCCUUGAUAAUCUGAAGUAGUCAGCAACUCUUGUGAUGUAGGCUAGCCGGUGAAGGGAAAUGACCACACGACGAAGCCGGUUCCACCUUCCCGAACACAAGGCUGCAUGCCGAAGGCCACUCCAUUGCGUGGAGCACAGAAAGGCAAAUGUCCAGGUGGAUAAUAGGGCUCCCAGCAGCGAUAUGAUCUCCAGAAGCAAGGCACCACCGAACAAGGCAUAAGUGAUAACAACGUCGACCCUGCUGUACCCAGCUUUGACACUGAACCAGAACAGCAGGAGCGAGGUUGAUACUGUGAGCACGGAGACGAUACGGAUGCAAUAGCCAAACCAGGUGUGGACCAUGGCUGCCUUGGUGUAGAGAAUGUCAUACAUAAGAGACAGCUCUAUCUCCAUCAGCAUCCACUUGUACUUUGUGUCUUGCUUUUUGAAGCCUUCAAGGACUUGACCAAGAUCACCAUGGUUACUUCUAGUAUUUGAACCAUCAUCAUCAAUUGAAGAAUCAACCAUGGCAGACUUGCAGACAUGGAACAGGGCAUGAGCAUGCCGCUUGAAGAGUUCUUCUUCUUGGGCAGUAUCCCCCUUGAAUCCACAUGGAGGGGUCUCAUACUCGAGGAAAAAAAUGCACCUGGCUGGUGCCUCUGUCUUCACUGAUUCCCGGAUUAUGCUGAAGCUGGCUUGCCUGAGAGACCAUGUCCUCUCCCAGAACUUGACAGCUCCGACACCCAUCAUAAAGACAGCGCCCGUCACGAACAGGGUCCCGUGGUCGGAGACGUGCUUGUAGAGGACAUAUCCAGCUCCCAGCACCUGUGCAACAAGAGUUAGGAAGUGGCGCUCCCAGAGCUUGUUGUCCUCCAGGGAGUAGGCAGUGAUGUUGUCUGGGCCACCGAGGUGCAGGAGGAGGAAAGGCGCCCAGAACGCCACCAGUUGGUGCUCAUGCGGAGCACUGCUGAUGGCAAGGUUUCCCAGAGCGUAUGUUGUGGUGUAGUCAACCAGCUGGUAUGCCAGCCAGAGAAAGCCCAUCUUUACACCACCGUCUUUAUGCCGCCGGACGCCAGCAAAGAAGAGCAGGACAAGCUGCUGCAUGAGGCUAAAGACCACAAGGAACUGGGUCGCCCAUCUAUUCCAAAGGUCCAGCAGCCAUACCAAUGUUAAUCCUGCCUCCUGCACUGUCUCAUGAAACAACAAUGUGCAGAAAAUAUGAGUGAUAAAUUACAUUCCAUCAAUAGCAAACUUGUGGCAUGCAUAUACUUACUUCGGGUGCAGUAGCUCCUAGUAACUGGUGACCAAAAUUCGUCAAGUACCCAGCCAAGAGGAGAUGUCAGGCAGCAGUGAUUGGUACCUGUAGAGUAGCAAGCAGGCCACUAGGGCAGGUUAUAUGUUAUCGUCAUAUUAGGUACAAGAUAAAAUUUUUUACUGUUGGGAUUCCACAAUGCCAUGUUAGCAUACAAAUAUAAUCAUACAGAGCUAGCAAGCAGGCCACUUGGUGAUGUUAUACGUUAUCAUCUUAUUAGGCAUGUUGUCUUUUUCACUAUUGGGAUCUGGAAGUGGCUGUCAGCAUACAAAUAUAAUAAUGCAUGAAUAUGCAUUCUGCAGAUGAACCAUACUGUAGA
rnacentral:lncRNA from 1 species